rfam:Ovis aries breed Texel chromosome 3, whole genome shotgun sequence.
UCCCUGGUGGCUCAGAUGGUAAAGCGCCUGCCUGCAAUGCGGGAGACCUGGGUUCGAUCCCUGGGUUGGGAA